AUACGGAGGGUGCAAGCGUUACUCGGAAUCACCGGGCGUAAAGCGCGCGCAGGCGGUCUUUUAAGUUGGAUGUGAAAGCCUACGGCUCAACCGUAGAACUGCAUCCAAAACUAUUAGACUAGAGUGUGGGAGAGGAAGACGGAAUUAGUUGUGUAGGGGUAAAAUCCGUAGAGAUAGCUAGGAAUACCAAAAGCGAAGGCAAUCUUCUGGAACACUACUGACGCUGAGGCGCGAAAGCGUGGGGAGCAAACGGGAUUAGAAACCCCAGUAGUCC
rnacentral:rRNA from 1 species